CUUUUCUCCCCGAAGAGGACCCUGGGAAGGUGGCUCCCGCCUCACUCCUAGAGUGAAAUCCUCGCAGCCCUGCCCUCGCGGGCGGAGCAGAGACGCCGCCGCUUGGCCGGUUCACGCCUGUCACACAAAGCCGCCGAGGGUCGGCUGCGCCCCUGGCAAGGCUGUAGGGCUGGGGAUACUGAGUAUGACAGGCGAGGUCCCUGCUCUCAAGAACUUACAUGGGAGAGAAGGGGAGACAAGAUAAACAGGUAAACACACACACACACACGAUGGAGCAACUCAACCCAAAAAGGUUGGUCUGUAUGGUGACGGAAUGUGGUCUCCCAGUUUUCAGCACAGCACUCAUUCAGCUAUUCUGCUCUUCAGAAAGCAGGAGGGAUGUGCCCUAAGGUGGACUAUUGAAAUGAUGAAAGCCACUGAGGAAGAGCCAGAGAAUUCUCGUAGCUGUGAUUAGACAUCAACCUUGGGCAUGCUAAACAUUUCAGCCUGGACACCCUGAGAAGAGCCAGUGCCACUGGUGACAGCUGCUUCUGUGCGGGCUUUUGCUUGGCCAGAGAGGCAGGACCUUCUCCCUGGCAUUUUGAGGAGUGGUGCCGGGUGGGCAGUGACUGCACUAGCAACAGUCUAUACCAAGAGAAGACCUCAAAUUCCCAGAGAAGAAAGGCAGCGAGGCCAAGAAAUGCUGCCGCCGCUUAACAAGUGAAGAUGCAUACUGGAGAAUAGGAACUGAACACGCGAAGGAGUUUCGGCUUUACUGCCUUCUCUCCUAGCAUUGAACAGAUCUUCUCUGCUGUUGAUUAUUCUCCAUGAAUCAUCAUCCAUAGAAAGUGACUGAGGCAAUAGAGAGUGAAUAAUGAAUCUCUCAAAUAGUCUUUUGUGUUUCUGCCUGGAGGGUUUUGGAAAUAACUUGCAUCUUAAUCUUUCUGACUUAGAAUCAUAGAAUUUGGGAGCUGAAAAGGACCUUCAUCAGGGCAUGUGGCCUCACAGAAAGACUGGAAGAAAAGAUUUGUGGGUAUGAGCCUCUGGUUCAUCACUAAAAAUAGGCCUAGUCUAACAUAUAUUGGAGGCUUUCCUUGUGUCAGGUACUCAUUUAUUCUUCCAAAACCUUGGGAGGUAGGUGCUGCUAUUCCUCCAUUCUGCAGAGGAGGAAGAGAUGAGGAGACAGUAGAUCACCAGAGGGCAGUGUGAGGGGUGUGCUGGAACCAUCAUGUGGAACUGGCUCUGGUUCCAGAAUCCACAUCCUCUCGGUCAUUCCACUCCCACAUCAAGUGGCUUUGGACAAGUAAUUUAACUUCUUUGGAUCUCAGUUUUCUCCUCCGUGAUCUCUAAAGUUUAAAAAUUACUAACAGUCUGCAUCUGCCACCCAAGCAUGUGAUUUUACAAGUCAGAAAAGUGUAGCGCAGAAAUGUUAAGUGACCUGCCCUAGGUCACCCAGGUUGCUAAGGGCAGAAUCAGCACAGAAACCCAGGCCCAGUGACCACUGCCCCCAGGCAAGACCUCCUUCCCUUCCACUGCACUUUGGCAGGUGUUCUAGGGGAAUCCAACUCCUUGCCUUAGAGGAGACCUGUUCAAUGAUAUCAGAUAGACUGGAGAUGUUACGUUUUGGUGUGGCCAAUCACAACACCAGGAUGAGCUUAGGAGGCUGGUGAUAUUUGUCUAUCUAAGCACCCCCAACCUAUCUAUCUGUCUGCUGUUUGUCUAUCUUUCUCAGGUUAUGCAUAGUGACCAAACCCCGCCUGGUAACUGUAGGGAAAGAGCAUGACUGGUGUGUUACAGCUACACACGCCCCCUGGUGGUAUUUCCAGUUGUUUGUCCUCUUCAUGCAAAUGUUGCCACCUUGU
rnacentral:lncRNA from 1 species